CUCAAUAAAUAUUAAAUCAGCGGCAAUUUCGGCCAGAGGGUUGUUCCCAAAUAACGGCGAAUAUUCCCGGCGGUCGGAUUUCCAGAUCGACGAGUCGUGCCUCUGCUUUUGUAUAAUGUAAUCUAGAAGUUUGACAGGGUCUAACGGUGGAUUGCCUUCAGCCAAGGCUAGCCGGGGCGAUGAAAAUGGGGGAUACCGGGAUACGAAGAAUGCUCGCGUGGUGUGAGUCGCCGCGAAAUGGGGGUCACAGCUACCGCAUCAAAGGAUUAUCUCUGGUAUAGAAAAUUAUGUUACAUUUGUGUUAAAUGGUCACUCAUGCAUCUGACCUUAUACCUGCUACAGUGUUCAAGUAUUCAAUAGUUGCUAU
rnacentral:misc_RNA from 1 species